rnacentral:lncRNA from 10 species
CGCGCAGCCCCCGCGCGCGCGCCCAAGGGAAAGCGAGCACCGCGCGCCGGCGCGCACACCCGAGACAGAGCUUUACUAUCUCGCUCCCUCUCGCGCCUCCCUCCUCGCUGGGCAUUCCAACAGCUUUCCGACAUCACCAGCCAAGGAUUUUUCCCCCUCUCCUUAGUCGCCGUCCGUCCAUCAGUACCUGCAGGGGGGAGGAGGAGGAGGGAGGAAAGCGGAAAGAGGAAAGAGCAUAAGCUUGAGCCUUCCGAUCCGACCACGAAUACUCCCGUAAUAAACCCACCGCCCCAACAAAUCUGCCAUAGCAGCCGCCGCCGCCGCCGGUCACUUCUCGUCUCAGCGCUUUCUUUGCUUCUUGGCUAAUCGGUUUGUUGGGGGUAGCUUUUAUGAAACAAAUCUUCGCUCUUAAGCCACUUACAUUUUGGGGGGUUCCUUAGAGUCUCCCUUGGGGGGGCUUCUCCUCCCUUUAGCCCCCCUCGGAUUGGAGGUUGGAUUCAGUUGGAUACGGCGCAAGGUUCUGGGCUCCUGGUGGCUUUUUUUUUUCUCUCUCUCUCAUCGACCCCCCUUUCGUUCCCACCCCUCACCUUUUGCUUUUCGUAUGUAUGCAUUUUUAAAAAUAAAUCCUGAUUUUGGAAGCUGAGCCGGGGAAAAUGGGCAACGGUGAUUGGGACCGAAGGGGAGUCUCUCCGUCACUGUUGCUGGGACGCGUGCCUGUGCUGGUGUCUUAGAGCAAGAGCCUCCCUGAGCUUUCGGAGUGGAAGGCCAAAUGACAUAGGAUGAAGGCUGUUCGUAACCUGCUGAUUUAUAUAUUUUCCACCUAUCUCCUGGUUAUGUUUGGAUUUAAUGCUGCCCAAGACUUCUGGUGUUCAACUUUGGUGAAGGGAGUCAUUUAUGGAUCGUAUUCUGUAAGUGAAAUGUUUCCCAAAAACUUUACAAACUGCACUUGGACGCUGGAAAAUCCAGAUCCAACCAAAUAUAGCAUUUACCUGAAAUUUUCCAAAAAGGACCUUAGCUGCUCUAACUUUUCACUCCUGGCUUAUCAGUUUGAUCAUUUUUCCCAUGAAAAAAUAAAGGAUCUUUUAAGAAAGAAUCAUUCUAUAAUGCAACUCUGCAAUUCCAAGAAUGCUUUCGUUUUUCUACAAUAUGAUAAAAAUUUUAUUCAAAUACGUCGAGUAUUUCCAUCUGAUUUCCCAGGAUUACAGAAAAAAGGGGAAGAAGAUCAGAAAUCUUUUUUUGAGUUUUUGGUAUUGAACAAGGUCAGCCCAAGCCAAUUUGGUUGCCAUGUAUUAUGCACUUGGUUGGAGAGCUGCUUAAAAUCAGAAAAUGGGAGAACAGAAUCAUGUGGGAUCAUGUAUACAAAAUGCACCUGCCCUCAGCAUUUGGGAGAGUGGGGGAUCGACGACCAGUCGCUGGUUUUGUUAAAUAACGUGGUGUUACCCCUGAAUGAGCAGACAGAGGGCUGCCUGACCCAGGAGCUGCAAACCACCCAAGUCUGCAAUCUUACCAGGGAGGCCAAGCGACCACCCAAAGAAGGACACGGCUGA